rnacentral:tRNA from 1 species
GCUAUCGUAGCUCAGCGGUAGAGCACUUCAUUGGUAAUGAAGAGGUCGGUGGUUCGAUCCCACUCGAUAGCA